rnacentral:lncRNA from 12 species
GAAACUUUUCUCCACUCCCAUAUCCAACAUUGCUGUGCAGAUGAGUGCUGGAUUCAUGCCCCUCUGACUUCAGAACAGAGUAAUUAAAGUCAAGUUUUGGUGAAUGGUAGUAGGAAGUAAUAUAUUUUCAGGAUCCAACGUGAAGCUAUAAAUCUUCUCUUUGCUGUGGCAUAGAUUCAAGGAAGUGUUCAUAGACUUUCACUACACCAAAACUCUGUGAGCAGUUCAUUAACCUUCACAUUGCUGCCAUUUAUUACAUCCAAAGACAAAGAAUAUCAAAACUUAAUCCAUCUUGGGGCAGCCAAGGUAAUGAAGUGGAGCACAUCUGAUGCUGUAAGAAGACAUAAGCAAGAGCUGAUGAUACUUACCCUGGAGGAGGGAACACUGAUGGUGGAGAAAUAAACACACCAGAAGAGUCUUCAAUUAUUUAAAAGGGGGCAGUCCCGGUGGCGCAGCGGUUUAGUGCUGCCUGCAGCCUGGGGUGUGAUCCUGGAGACCUGGGAUGGAGUCCCACGUUGGGCUUCCUGCAUGGAGCCUGCUUCUCUCUCUGCCUGUGUCUCUGCCUCUAGCUCUCUCUGUGUCUCUCAUGAAUAAAUAAAUAAAAUCUUUAAAAAAAUUAUUUAAA